GGAUGAACGCUGGCGGCGUGCCUAAUACAUGCAAGUCGAGCGAACAGAUAAGGAGCUUGCUCCUUUGACGUUAGCGGUGGACGGGUGAGUAACACGUGGGUAACCUACCUAUAAGACUGGAAUAACUCCGGGAAACCGGGGCUAAUGCCGGAUAAUAUUUAGAACCGCAUGGUUCUAAAGUGAAAGAUGGUUUUGCUAUUACUUAUAGAUGGACCCGCGCCGUAUUAGCUAGUUGGUGGGGUAAUGGCUUACCAAGGCAACGAUACGUAGCCGACCUGAGAGGGUGAUCGGCCACACUGGAACUGAGACACGGUCCAGACUCCUACGGGAGGCAGCAGUAGGGAAUCUUCCGCAAUGGGCGAAAGCCUGACGGAGCAACGCCGCGUGAGUGAUGAAGGUCUUCGGAUCGUAAAACUCUGUUAUUAGGGAAGAACAAAUGUGUAAGUAACUGUGCACGUCUUGACGGUACCUAAUCAGAAAGCCACGGCUAACUACGUGCCAGCAGCCGCGGUAAUACGUAGGUGGCAAGCGUUAUCC
rnacentral:rRNA from 1 species